rnacentral:rRNA from 1 species
UACGAAGGGGGCGAGCGUUGUUCGGAAUUACUGGGCGUAAAGGGCUCGUAGGUGGCCAACUAAGUCAGACGUGAAAUCCCUCGGCUUAACCGGGGAACUGCGUCUGAUACUGGAUGGCUUGAGUUCGGGAGAGGGAUGCGGAAUUCCAGGUGUAGCGGUGAAAUGCGUAGAUAUCUGGAGGAACACCGGUGGCGAAGGCGGCAUCCUGGACCGACACUGACACUGAGGAGCGAAAGCCAGGGGAGCAAACAGG